GGUCCUAUGGUGUAGCGGUAGCACCCGGGACUUUGAAUCCCGUAACCCGAGUUCGAUCCUCGGUAGGACCA
rfam:Nematocida sp. JTm2807 1, whole genome shotgun sequence.